GUUAUAUGGUCAAGCGACUAAGCGCAUACGGUGGAUGCCUUGGCAGUCAGAGGCGAUGAAGGACGUAGUAGCCUGCGAAAAGCUUCGGGGAGUCGGCAAACAGACUUUGAUCCGGAGAUGUCCGAAUGGGGAAACCCACCUGGUUUAAGCCAGGUAUUCUCAACUGAAUCCAUAGGUUGAGGAGGCGAACGAGGGGAACUGAAACAUCUAAGUACCCUUAGGAAGAGAAAUCAAUUGAGAUUCCCUCAGUAGCGGCGAGCGAACGGGGAUCAGCCUGCAAGUGAUAGCACAUUGGUUAGUGGAACGCUCUGGAAAGUCCGGCCAUAGAGGGUGAUAGCCCCGUACACGAAAACCGAUGUGUGGUACUGAGCUUGCGAGAAGUAGGUCAGGACACGUGUUAUCUUGACUGAAGAUGGGGGGACCAUCCUCCAAGGCUAAAUACUCCUGACUGACCGAUAGUGAACCAGUACCGUGAGGGAAAGGCGAAAAGAACCCCGGUGAGGGGAGUGAAAUAGAACCUGAAACCGUAUGCGUACAAGCAGUGGGAGCAGAUUUAUUCUGUGACUGCGUACCUUUGUAUAAUGGGUCAGCGACUUAUUGUUUGUAGCGAGCUUAACCGUUUAGGGGAGGCGUAGGGAAACCGAGUCUUAAUAGGGCGUUUAGUUGCAGGGAAUAGACCCGAAACCGGGUGAUCUAUCCAUGAGCAGGUUGAAGGUGCCGUAACAGGCACUGGAGGACCGAACCACGUAUGUUGAAAAUGCGGGGAUGAGCUGUGGAUCGGAGUGAAAGGCUAAUCAAGCCCGGAGAUAGCUGGUUCUCCUCGAAAUCUAUUUAGGUAGAGCCUCGCGUCUUACCCUGGGGGUAGAGCACUGUUUGGGCUAGGGGGUCAUCCCGACUUACCAACCCCAUGCAAACUCCGAAUACCCAGGAGUACAAUCGCGGGAGACAGACGGCGGGUGCUAACGUCCGUCGUCGAGAGGGCAACAACCCAGACCGCCAGCUAAGGUCCCCAAUACCAGUUAAGUGGGAAACGAUGUGGGAAGGCUUAGACAGCUAGGAGGUUGGCUUAGAAGCAGCCACCCUUUAAAGAAAGCGUAAUAGCUCACUAGUCGAGUCGGCCUGCGCGGAAGAUGUAACGGGGCUAAACUGGUAACCGAAGCUGCGGAUGCGCACGUUUCACUUAAAUUCACAUAGGACGAUCGCUUGUCGACGGCUGCCGAAGGCAGAUGGCGACCAAGCGCUCCCGAACGUUGAGUCGGGCUGCUUCCAGUAGAUGGAGCAGGAUCUGAGUGAGUGAGUUUAAGGAAGCGUGCGCAUGGUAGAGGAGCGUUCUGUAAGUGGUUGAAGGUGUGCCGGGAGGCAUGCUGGACAUAUCAGAAGUGCGAAUGCUGACAUGAGUAACGACAAGGGGGGUGAAAAACCUCCCCGCCGGAAGAUCAAGGUUUCCUGCGCAACGUUAAUCGGCGCAGGGUGAGUCGGCCCCUAAGGCGAGGCAGAAAUGCGUAGUCGAUGGGAAACGGGUUAACAUUCCCGUACUUCUUCAUAUUGCGAUGGAGGGACGGAGUAGGCUAGGCCAUCAGGGCGUUGGUUGUCCCUGUUUAAGGUUGUAGGCUGGCUGCUUAGGUAAAUCCGGGCCGUCAAGGCUGAGAGCUGAUGACGAAGCUUGACAUGAGAGUGUCAGGUGAAGUGGUUGAUGCCAUGCUUCCAAGAAAAGCUUCUAAGCUUCAGAUAUGAAGGAACCGUACUGUAAACCGACACAGGUGAUCAGGUAGAGAAUACCAAGGCGCUUGAGAGAACUCGGGUGAAGGAACUAGGCAAAAUGGUACCGUAACUUCGGGAGAAGGUACGCCGGUUUGGGUGAUGGGACUUGCUCCUUGAGCCUGGGCUGGCCGAAGUGACCAGGUGGCUGCGACUGUUUAUUAAAAACAUAGCACUCUGCAAACACGUAAGUGGACGUAUAGGGUGUGACGCCUGCCCGGUGCCGGAAGGUUAAUUGAUGGGGUUAUCUUCGGAGAAGCUCUUGAUCGAAGCCCCGGUAAACGGCGGCCGUAACUAUAACGGUCCUAAGGUAGCGAAAUUCCUUGUCGGGUAAGUUCCGACCUGCACGAAUGGCGUAACGAUGGCCACACUGUCUCCACCCGAGACUCAGUGAAAUUGAAAUCGCUGUUAAGAUGCAGUGUACCCGCGGCUAGACGGAAAGACCCCGUGAACCUUUACUAUAGCUUCACACUGGACUUUGACCUUACUUGUGUAGGAUAGCUGGGAGGCUUUGAAGCGGUGGCGCCAGCCAUCGUGGAGCCGACCUGAAAUACCAGCCUGGUAAUGUUGGGGUUCUAACUUUGGUCCGUUAUCCGGAUCGAGGACAGUGUGUGGUGGGUAGUUUGACUGGGGCGGUCUCCUCCCAAAGAGUAACGGAGGAGCACGAAGGUGCGCUAAUCAUGGUCGGAAAUCAUGAGGUUAGUGUAAAGGCACAAGCGCUUGACUGCGAGUCUGACAAGACGAGCAGGUACGAAAUGGGUCUUAGUGAUCCGGUGGUUCUGUAUGGAAGGGCCAUCGCUCAACGGAUAAAAGGUACUCCGGGGAUAACAGGCUGAUACCGCCCAAGAGUUCACAUCGACGGCGGUGUUUGGCACCUCGAUGUCGGCUCAUCACAUCCUGGGGCUGAAGUCGGUCCCAAGGGUAUGGCUGUUCGCCAUUUAAAGUGGUACGCGAGCUGGGUUUAGAACGUCGUGAGACAGUUCGGUCCCUAUCUGCCGUGGGCGUUGGAGAAUUGAGGGAAGCUGCUCCUAGUACGAGAGGACCGGAGUGGACGAACCCCUGGUGUUCGGGUUGUGUCGCCAGACGCAUUGCCCGGUAGCUAUGUUCGGACAGGAUAACCGCUGAAAGCAUCUAAGCGGGAAGCCUCUCCCAAGAUGAGUUCUCCCUGACCCCUUGAGGGUCCUGAAGGGUCGUCCAAGACCAGGACGUUGAUAGGCUGGGUGUGUAAGCGUUGUGAGGCGUUGAGCUAACCAGUACUAAUUGCCCGUGAGGCUUGACCAUAUAAUCCA
rnacentral:rRNA from 1 species